AGAAUCAACGCUGGCGGCGUGCCUAACACAUGCAAGUCGAACGAGAAAGUGGAGCAAUCCAUGAGUAAAGUGGCGACCGGGUGAGUAACACGUGACUAACCUACCCUAGAGUGGGGAAUAACUUCGGGAAACCGAGGCUAAUACCGCAUAACAUCGUAGAGGGAAGCUCUUUGCGAUCAAAGGAGCAAUUCGCUCAAGGAGGGGGUCGCGGCUGAUUAGUUAGUUGGUGAGGUAACGGCUCACCAAGACAAAGAUCAGUAUCCGGCCUGAGAGGGCGCACGGACACACUGGAACUGAAACACGGUCCAGACUCCUACGGGAGGCAGCAGUGGGGAAUUUUGCGCAAUGGGGGAAACCCUGACGCAGCAACGCCGCGUGGAGGAUGAAGUCCCUUGGGAUGUAAACUCCUUUCGAUCGGGACGAUUAUGACGGUACCGGAAGAAGAAGCACCGGCUAACUCUGCGCCAGCAGCCGC
rnacentral:rRNA from 1 species